rnacentral:rRNA from 1 species
AGAGUUUGAUCCUGGCUCAGAAUCAACGCUGGCGGCGUGCCUAACACAUGCAAGUCGAACGAGAAAGGGGUAGCAAUACCCUGAGUAAAGUGGCGCACGGGUGAGUAACACGUGACUAACCUACCCUGGAGUGGGGGGAUAACUGAGGGAAACCUUAGCUAAUACCGCAUAAUGCCUACGGGUCAAAGGAGCAAUUCGCUCUGGGAGGGGGUCGCGGCCGAUUAGUUAGUUGGCGGGGUAACGGCCCACCAAGACGAUGAUCGGUAUCCGGCCUGAGAGGGCGCACGGACACAUUGGAACUGAAACACGGUCCAGACUCCUACGGGAGGCAGCAGUGGGGAAUUUUGCGCAAUGGGGGAAACCCUGACGCAGCAACGCCGCGUGGAGGAUGAAGUCCUUCGGGACGUAAACUCCUUUCGAUCGGGACGAUUAUGACGGUACCGGAAGAAGAAGCCCCGGCUAACUUCGUGCCAGCAGCCGCGGUAAUACGAGGGGGGCGAGCGUUGUUCGGAAUUAUUGGGCGUAAAGGGUGCGUAGGCGGUUUGGUAAGUCUUAUGUGAAAUCUAUGGGCUCAACUCAUAGACUGCAUGAGAAACUGCCGGGCUUGAGUGUGGGAGAGGUGAGUGGAAUUUCCGGUGUAGCGGUGAAAUGCGUAGAUAUCGGAAGGAACCCUGUGGCGAAAGCGGCUCACUGGACCAUAACUGACGCUGAUGCGCGAAAGCUAGGGGAGCAAACAGGAUUAGAUACCCUAGUAGUCC